CAGGUGCAACCACUUUGCCCUCCCUGCCCUCUGCCCUAUUUAAUGGGCCCCAGCAGAGGCAGCAGCCCCAAGUUUGCCCAUCUGGGCAGAGGGAUCCUCCUCCCGUCGGGACUGGCUGAGCUGCUCUCUGAUUAACUGCUUCUUUUUGCUUACUGGUGAAGCUGCAAAGGACAGGAUGAAGAAGUCCACAGAAGGUUCUGAGGAGCCUCGAAGAAGCACGGAGGAAAUGUCUGGGAAUGCUCUACAAGGAAAAUGGAUUAAGACUCCAGUCUCACUGCCACUCUUCUGUGUCAGAGUGGCUAAAACACUGUCUUGUUUUGUAACUGAGUUAAAAGCAGCUGUGCUCUGUACCAGGGGAGAUCCUGACUGUGUGACACCAGGUCAGGGCACCAGAUGCCUGUGGCAUGGUCCAGGAUUUCACUCUGUUGAGCUGCUUGGCAGCCAGAGAACUGUUACCUCAAACCAGGUGUGCUUCUGCUUCAAACUCCAUUUCACAUGGCCCCAGCAGUCUCAUUUCACACCAUUCUGGCUGCAAGCUGCAGUUCUGCAGAUGCUCUGUGUUGGUUGGACAAAUCUAUGGAUAUGUUUCCAGGUGGAUAAAGGUCUAAAGCUACUGCACAGAUCACACCCCAGAGCCAA